rnacentral:rRNA from 1 species
AGCGAACGCUGGCGGCAGGCUUAACACAGGCAAGUCGAGCGCCCCGCAAGGGGAGCGGCAGACGGGUGAGUAACACGUGGGAACGUACCUUUUGGUUCGGAACAACUGAGGGAAACUUCAGCUAAUACCGGAUAAGCCCUUACGGGGAAAGAUUUAUCGCCGAAAGAUCGGCCCGCGUCUGAUUAGCUAGUUGGUGAGGUAAUGGCUCACCAAGGCGACGAUCAGUGGCUGGUCUGAGAGGAUGAUCAGCCACACUGGGACUGAGACACGGUACAGACUCCUACGGGAGGCAGCAGUGGGGAAUAUUGGACAAUGGGGGCAACCCUGAUCCAGCCAUGCCGCGUGAGUGAUGAAGGCCCUAGGGUUGUAAAGCUCUUUUAACGGGGAAGAUAAUGACGGUACCCGUAGAAUAAGCCCCGGCUAACUUCGUGCCAGCAGCCGCGGUAAAAC